UGACUUAUGAUAAAAAUAACAAUCAGUCCCGCUUAGCAAAAAGAAAUGUUGAGAUGAAGCUUCGGCGACGUGAAAUACAUAAACAAUUUUCUGCCGAAAAAGAAGAGGCACUUUUGGUACAUCGACGAACAAAUAAACAACAGUUGGAAAAAAAAAAUACUAUUACUAAUGUAGAAGGUUUUCCUGUACAAGCUCAACAUACAGGUCGCUUGGCGUGAAACUGCUCCGUGUCUGACAAUUCUCUUUUAGUGGAGUUCUCUGCUAUUUCCCCAACGACGGUUGUUCGCCCUCAACUACAACGCACUAUAUCAUACCAUAACUCAGAAAAAGGAAAAGAUAUAUGCAGCCCGUUUGUAAUUCAUGAAACAGGUUCAACAUCUGUUGCAUCUACAUCUGUAUCUGAAAAUCUUGUUUCAAUAGACUUUGCUGCUAUUUUGGCAACAACAGGUUUCACCACUAAUACUUUCCUUUUACCUUAUCUUUAUUAAAAUAGUUGGAGAAUUUGAACAGCUGAUUAUAAGUAACUGACUAUACAUAUGCAUUACGUAAAUGUCUUCACCAAUGAAUCUCAUCUUACUAUUUUAUCAAUUAUCUGUGACAAGCAAAAGAACAUGACUCAUCCAUUCUCUAUGUAUGAAAUAGCUCAGCACCAUGACGAACAUAAUGUUUCUACUCCCUUAUACUAUAGCAAUUACGCAAAACUAUACUACUGUCUCUUGAUGUUAGGCCCGACACUUGCUGCAUCUACCUUCCAAUGUGAUAUGGCAUCAAAGAUUAUUAAAGCUCACAGACAACAAAAUAGAUGUCAUGUAAACAUGCGAUAAGUGUUAUCUGAAUACGUGCGUUUAGAGACGUUUCCUCAUUGUAAAUUUUGCGCUGCAAAGAGAUUUGAAUAUGAGCCUCCUGGAUUUUGUUGUAACAACGGCUCCAUCAAAUUAGUUUCUAACCAGGUAAUAGCUAAACUACGCAAUUUAUUUUUUGAAAAUACUGAAGAAUUGGUGCAUUUUCGAACAUACAUUAGAACAUAUAAUAAUAUGUUUGCAUUUACAUCACUUGGCAUAAAUUA